rnacentral:rRNA from 1 species
CCUACGGGUGGCCGCAGUGAGGAAUAUUGGUCAAUGGACGAGAGUCUGAACCAGCCAAGUAGCGUGAAGGAUGACUGCCCUAUGGGUUGUAAACUUCUUUUAUAUGGGAAUAAAAUGUUCCACGUGUGGGAUUUUGUAUGUACCAUAUGAAUAAGGAUCGGCUAACUCCGUGCCAGCAGCCGCGGUAAUACGGAGGAUCCGAGCGUUAUCCGGAUUUAUUGGGUUUAAAGGGAGCGUAGGUGGAUUGUUAAGUCAGUUGUGAAAGUUUGCGGCUCAACCGUAAAAUUGCAGUUGAAACUGGCAGUCUUGAGUACAGUAGAGGUGGGCUGAAUUCGUGGUGUAGCGGUGAAAUGCUUAGAUAUCACGAAGAACUCCGAUUGCGAAGGCAGUUCACUGGACUGCAACUGACACUGAGGCUCGAAAGUGUGGGUAUCAAACAGGAUUAGAUACCCCUGUAGUA